AGAGUUUGAUCCUGGCUCAGGAUGAACGCUAGCGGCAGGCCUAACACAUGCAAGUCGAGGGGUAGAGGAAGCUUGCUUCCUUGAGACCGGCGCACGGGUGCGUAACGCGUAUGCAAUCUACCUUAUACAGAGGGAUAGCCCAGAGAAAUUUGGAUUAAUACCUCAUAGUAUUAUGAAAUCGCAUGGUUUUAUAAUUAAAGUUCCAACGGUAUAAGAUGAGCAUGCGUCCCAUUAGUUAGUUGGUAAGGUAACGGCUUACCAAGACAAUGAUGGGUAGGGGUCCUGAGAGGGAGAUCCCCCACACUGGUACUGAGACACGGACCAGACUCCUACGGGAGGCAGCAGUGUGGAAUAUUGGUCAAUGGACGCAAGUCUGAACCAGCCAUGCCGCGUGCAGGAUGACGGUCCUAUGGAUUGUAAACUGCUUUUAUACAGGAAGAAACACUCGGACGUGUCCGAGCUUAACGGUACUGUAGGAAUAAGGAUCGGCUAACUCCGUGCCAGCAGCCGCGGUAAUACGGAGGAUCCAAGCGUUAUCCGGAAUCAUUGGGUUUAAAGGGUCCGUAGGCGGUUUAAUAAGUCAGUGGUGAAAGCCUAUCGCUUAACGAUAGAACGGCCAUUGAUACUGUUAGACUUGAAUUAGUGGGAAGUAACUAGAAUAUGUAGUGUAGCGGUGAAAUGCUUAGAUAUUACAUGGAAUACCAAUUGCGAAGGCAGGUUACUAUCACUAUAUUGACGCUGAUGGACGAAAGCGUGGGGAGCGAACAGGAUUAGAUACCCUGGUAGUCCACGCCGUAUACGAUGGAUACUAGCUGUUCGGAGCAAUCUGAGUGGCUAAGCGAAAGUGAUAAGUAUCCCACCUGGGGGAGUACGUUCGCAAGAAUGAAACUCAAAGGAAUUGACGG
rnacentral:rRNA from 1 species